UACGUAGGUGACAAGCGUUGUCCGGAUUUACUGGGCGUAAAGAGCGCGCAGGCGGUCGAUCAAGUCGAGUGUGAAAGCCCCCGGCUCAACUGGGGAGGGUCAUUCGAUACUGAUCGACUCGAAGGCAGGAGAGGGUAGUGGAAUUCCCGGUGUAGUGGUGGAAAUGCGUAGAUAUCGGGAGGAACACCAGUGGCGAAGGCGACUACCUGGCCUGUUCUUGACGCUGAGGCGCGAAAGCUAGGGGAGCAAACGGG
rnacentral:rRNA from 1 species